rnacentral:rRNA from 1 species
AGCGAACGCUGGCGGCAGGCCUAACACAUGCAAGUCGAACGAACCUUUCGGGGUUAGUGGCGGACGGGUGAGUAACACGUGGGAACGUGCCUUUAGGUUCGGAAUAACUCAGGGAAACUUGUGCUAAUACCGAAUGUGCCCUUCGGGGGAAAGAUUAAUCGCCUUUAGAGCGGCCCGCGUCUGAUUAGCUAGUUGGUUGAGGUAAUGGCUCACCAAGGCGACGAUCAGUAGCUGGUCUGAGAGGAUGAUCAGCCACAUUGGGACUGAGACACGGCCCAAACUCCUACGGGAAGCAGCAGUGGGGAAUCUUGCGCAAUGGGCGAAAGCCUGACGCAGCCAUGCCGCGUGAAUGAUGAAGGUCUUGGGAUUGUAAAAUUCUUUCACCGGGGACGAUAAUGACGGUACCCGGAGAAGAAGCCCCGGCUAACUUCGUG